rnacentral:rRNA from 1 species
AGUCGAGGGUAGCAGGAUUUAGUUACUAGAUUGCUGACGACCGCGCACGGUGAGUAACGCGUAUACAAUUUGCUUUUACUGGAGGAUAGCCAAGAGAAAUUUUGAUUAAUACUCCAUAGUAUUAUUUGAUCACUGGUCGAAUAAUUAAAGCUCCGGCGGUAAAAGAUGAGUAUGCGUUCUAUUAGCUAGAUGGUAAGGUAACGGCUUACCAUGGCGACGAUAGAUAGGGGUCCUGAGAGGGAGAUCCCCCACACUGGUACUGAGACACGGACCAGACUCCUACGGGAGGCAGCAGUGAGGAAUAUUGGGCAAUGGACGCGAGUCUGACCCAGCCAUGUCGCGUGCAGGAAGACGGCUUUAUGAGUUGUAAACUGCUUUUAUACAGGAAGAAACCCACCGACGUGUUGGUGGCUGACGGUACUGUACGAAUAAAGACCGGCUAACUCCGUGCCAGCAGCCGCGGUAAUACGGAGGGUCUAAGCGUUAUCCGGAAUCAUUGGGUUUAAAGGGUCCGUAGGCGGGCUAAUAAGUCAGAGGUGAAAUCCCACAGCUUAACUGUGGCACUGCCUUUGAUACUGUUAGUCUUGAGUCAUAAUGAGGUAGAUGGAAUGUGUAGUGUAGCGGUGAAAUGCAUAGAUAUUACACAGAACACCGAUUGCGAAGGCAGUCUACUAAUUAUGAACUGACGCUGAGGGACGAAAGCGUGGGUAGCGAACAGGAUUAGAUACCCUGGUAGUCCACGCCGUAAACGAUGG